AUUGAACGCUGGCGGCAUGCCUUACACAUGCAAGUCGAACGGUAACAGGGAGCUUGCUCCGCUGACGAGUGGCGAACGGGUGAGUAAUGUAUCGGAACGUACCUUUCAGUGGGGGAUAACGUAGCGAAAGUUACGCUAAUACCGCAUAUUCUGUGAGCAGGAAAGCAGGGGAUCGCAAGACCUUGCGCUGAUUGAGCGGCCGAUAUCAGAUUAGCUAGUUGGUGAGGUAAAGGCUCACCAAGGCGACGAUCUGUAGCGGGUCUGAGUGGAUGGUCCGCCAACCUGGAACUGAGACACGGUCCAGACUACUACGGGAGGCAGCAGUGGGGAAUUUUGGACAAUGGGAGCAACCCUGAUCCAGCCAUGCCGCGUGAGUGAAGAAGGCCUUCGGGUUGUAAAGCUCUUUCGGCCGGGAAGAAAUCGCAUGGGUUAAUACCCUGUGCGGAUGACGGUACCGGCAUAAGAAGCACCGGCUAACUACGUGCCAGCCGCCGCAGUAAAAC
rnacentral:rRNA from 1 species